ACAGCUUCUAGCCCUGCCUCGCGAGGCCUCUGAGUCCUAGCGCGGCUCCCCCGCUCCUCCCACACCCACAGGCUUCCGGCCAUAGCUGCGCGGCCCCACCUUGCCCUCCCCCCAACUCACAGGUGGUGGCUGCUCCUCUGGGGAGUCCUCCAGGCUUGCCCAACCCGGGGCUCCGUCCUCUUGGCCCAAGAGCUACCCCAGCAGCUGACAUCCCCCGGGUACCCAGAGCCGUAUGGCAAAGGCCAAGAGAGCAGCACGGACAUCAAGGCUCCAGAGGGCUUUGCUGUGAGGCUCGUCUUUCAGGACUUCGACCUGGAGCCGUCCCAGGACUGUGCAGGGGACUCUGUCACAAUCUCAGCCGGCGGGUCGGAUCCAAGCCAGUUCUGUGGUCAGCAAGGCUCCCCUCUGGGCAGGCCCCCUGGUCAGAGGGAGUUUGUAUCCUCAGGGAGGAGUUUGCGGCUGAUCUUCCGCACACAGCCUUCCUCGGAGAACAAGACUGCCCACCUCCACAAGGGCUUCCUGGCCCUCUACCAAACCGU
rnacentral:sRNA from 1 species